GACGAACGCUGGCGGCGCGCCUAACACAUGCAAGUCGAACGAGCGAGAGAGAGCUUGCUUUCUCGAGCGAGUGGCGAACGGGUGAGUAACGCGUGAGGAACCUGCCUCAAAGAGUGGGACAACAGUUGGAAACGACUGCUAAUACCGCAUAAGCCCACGUCUCGGCAUCGAGCGGGGGGAAAAGGAGCAAUGCGGUUUGAGGUGGCGUCGCGUCCGAUUAGCUAGUUGGUGGGGUAACGGCCCACCAAGGCGACGAGCGGUAGCCGGACGGAGAGGUUGACCGGCCACAUUGGGACUGAGACACGGCCCAGAACCCUACGGGACGCAGCAGUGGGGAAUAUUGCACACUGGGGGAAAACCUGAUGCAGCGACGCCGCGUGGAGGAAGAAGGUGUUCGGAUUGUAAACUCCUGUUGUUGGGGAAGAUAAUGACGGUAACCAACAAGGAAGUGACGGCUAACUACGUG
rnacentral:rRNA from 1 species